AUAUCAAUAAGCGGAGGAAAAGAAACUAACAAGGAUUCCCCUAGUAACUGCGAGUGAAGAGGGAAGAGCUCAAAUUUAAAAUCUGGCAGUCUUUGGCUGUCCGAGUUGUAAUUUAGAGAAGUGUUACCCGCGUUGGACCGUGUAUAAGUCUCCUGGAAUGGAGCGUCAUAGAGGGUGAGAAUCCCGUCUUUGACACGGACUACCAAGCUCUGUGGUGGCGCUCUCAAAGAGUCGUGUUGUUUGGGAAUGCAGCACUAAAUGGGUGGUAAAUUCCAUCUAAAGCUAAAUAUUGGCGAGAGACCGAUAGCGCACAAGUA
rnacentral:rRNA from 1 species